rnacentral:rRNA from 1 species
GUCUACAACCAUACCACGCUGAACCAAUCUCAUCUGAUCUCAGAAGCUAAGCAGGGUCAGGGUCGGGACUGGUUAGUAAUUGGAUGAGAGACCCCUUGGGAAUUCCGGGUGCUGUCAUCU